rfam:Patagioenas fasciata monilis isolate BTP2013 Sc31e1R_1, whole genome shotgun sequence.
CUCUAGGUGUUAUUUGACACCAUUAACUGUUUAAUAGAAAAUAUU